rnacentral:sRNA from 1 species
UCAAUGCCUGCUCUAUCGGUUCCCCAGCG